GCACAAGCGGUGGAUGAUGUGGUUUAAUUCGAUGCAACGCGAAAAACCUUACCUACCCUUGACAUGUCUAGAAGUUACCAGAGAUGGUUUCGUGCUCGAAAGAGAACUAGAACACAGGUGCUGCAUGGCCGUCGUCAGCUCGUGUCGUGAGAUGUUGGGUUAAGUCCCGCAACGAGCGCAACCCUUAUCAUUAGUUGCUACGCAAGGGCACUCUAAUGAGACUGCCGGUGACAAACCGGAGGAAGGUGGGGAUGACGUCAGGUCAUCAUGGCCCUUAUGGGUAGGGCUACACACGUCAUACAAUGGCCGGUACAGAGGGCUGCCAACCCGCGAGGGGGAGCUAAUCUCAGAGAACCGGUCGUAGUCCGGAUCGUAGUCUGCAACUCGACUGCGUGAAGUCGGAAUCGCUAGUAAUCGCGGAUCAGCUUGCCGCGGUGAAUACGUUCCCGGGUCUUGUACACACCG
rnacentral:rRNA from 1 species